rnacentral:rRNA from 1 species
GUCCUAGCCGUAAACGGUGAUCACUAGGUGUUGGAGGCUUCGACCCCUCCAGUGCCGCAGCUAACGCAUUAAGUGAUCCGCCUGGGGAGUACGGCCGCAAGGUUGAAACUCAAAGGAAUUGACGGGGGCCCCGCACAAGCGGUGGAGCAUGUGGUUUAAUUCGACGCAACGCGAAGAACCUUACCCAGACUUGACAUGUAGCGGACGGGUGUGGAAACACACCUUUCCUUCGGGACCGUUACACAGGUGCUGCAUGGCUGUCGU